UUAAAUCGAAUGCUUUAAAAGCACAUGGAAUUCUAUCAUUCAGAUCUACAAAGUAAAACCUGCCUGAACGAUGGUGUUGGGAACAAGGACUUUUGUUCUGCUCUGCCUGUGUAGCUGGACAUGUAUAGUUUCCGGCUCUGAUUACAUCAAGUACAAGGAUCCCAGUCAACAUGUAGAAACUCGCGUGGAGGAUUUGUUGGCCAAGAUGACCGUGGCGGAGAAGGUCGGCCAGAUGGCUCAGAUCGAACGUUCUAUC
rnacentral:lncRNA from 1 species